CCGGUGCACAUGGCAGGUAAUUAGGGACAAAGCAACUAGUCCAGACGGGACCUUUCUGGUUCCAGCCCACCCAGCCAAUCAAUAUGCAUUAAUCAUUACACGCUUAUUGUUAACGUGAUUCAGCUUCAGUGACUCACUGGGAUCACACACAGGACAGUCUGUUGUGACUCCAGACGGGCCAGAGAGCUUAAGGAAUUGAGAAACAUGUUUUGCCUUAAAGGUGCAGAACACUCCGGUGAUGAGCCAGAAGAGCCCAAUGAUGCCUCCUCCUUCCAGCUCGGGUUGUACACUCCAGAAGGGCAGGGGCCGCAUUGCUUCCGCCUGGGUCUCCAGCACCUACGGCGGAGCCUCGGGGAGACUGGCUGCGGACAAAGUGUGUGAUGUUGACCAAAUAAAGAAGAAAAGACAUAUGAAGACACAGUGAAAAGGGGACCAUCUAAACGCCAGGAAGAGGGCUCUCACCAGAAACCAAGUUAGCCAGUGCCUUGAUCUUGGACUUUCCAACCUUCAGAACUAUGAGAAAUACAUUUCUGUUGUUUGAGCCAGCCAGUCUGUGGUAUUUUGUUAUGGUAACCCAAGCAGACGAAUACAUAGGUUAUUGAUAAAAGCCAGAUUCUAAAUUUUUUUAUGAGACUCUGGCCUCAUGUCUGUUCAUCCACACCACCUCAACAUACGUACCUUGUGGGUAUAAUGACUUUCCAUCAUUAGCCUGCCCCUCAAGUAACAGACCUAAACUAAAUUGUCAUAGGACCAAAGCAAGGCAAUGACACAGUAUAAGGUCACAAAAAGGCAGGCGCUCAUCCAUGAGUGCUCAGGACCACGUUCACCUCUUUGGACAAAGGUAAAUUUUCCAUGAAGCCUUCUAAGCUUUAGCUUUAGGUGCCACACUUGCACGGGCCCCUUCCUAAGCCCUGAACCUGAUUCUACAUUUAUAUAUUUUUAACUUUUUAAAAUAGAGCCUCCGCCUAAUUGUAUGUUCCCCAUGCCCCACAUCUCGCCCUUGCCUCUGACAAGUAUUUAUUAUGCUAGACCCUGAGUAUACAGUAGGGAACAA